GUCGAACGCUGGCGGCGUGCUUAACACAUGCAAGUCGAACGAUGACGCUGGAGCUUGCUCCGGUGGAUUAGUGGCGCACGGGUGAGUAGCACGUUAGCAAUCUGCCCUUGACUCUGGGAUCACUUCGGGAAACUGUAGCUAAUACCGGAUACGAGACCUGAAGGCAUCUUCGGGGCUGGAAAUAAUUUCGGUCAAGGAUGAGCUCGCGGCAUAUCCGCUUGUUGGGGAGGUGAUGUCACACCACGGCGACGACAGGUAGCCGGCCUGAGAGGGUGACCGGCCCAACUGCGACUGAGACACGGCCCAGACUCGUACGGGAGGCAGCGGUGGGGAAUAUUGCACAAUGGACGAAAGCCUGAUGCAGCAAUGCCGCGUGAGGGAUGACGGCCUUCGGGUUGUAAACCUCUCUCAGCACCGCCGAAGCGCAAGUGACGGUAGGUGCAGAAGAAGGACCGGCCAACUACGUGCCAGCCGCCGCCGUAA
rnacentral:rRNA from 1 species